UGUUCAUGCUCAGUUGGUUAGAGCAUGGUGCUAAUAAUGCCAAGGUCAUGGGUUUGAUCCCCAUAUGGACCA